rnacentral:misc_RNA from 1 species
AUUCAAAUCAGAUCUCUAUUCACUGUUCACACUCACUCCCUAUUCGGCUCUCUGGGUCUCGGACGGACAGACAGACAGACCGACACAUCUCUUUUCCACUCUGCCACCAGUCCAUCGCCGAUUUCUACAGUCAGAGAGAGAGAGAGAAAUGGGUCCACCAAACAAGAAUGCCCUUACAAUCUCCCAGGAUGCGUUCGACGAGCUGGUGAAAGAGAACAUGGAAGACCUCGGCAUGGACCCGGUUGAAGCCCUCCAAGACGCCAUCCAGACCCUUACUCUCCAAGGCGUCGAUCUCUCCGGUAUAGUGACGUGCGUUCCUGGAGAGAGUAGUGCAAAAGACAACCCAGUGAUUCAUUGUUUGGAAAGAUUGAACGAGCUGGAAUCUAUUCCAAAGGAUCGAAUUAGUGGGGAUGAGAUGGAUGAGAUGGCUGGCUUGUUUGAUAAGCUAACAGAACUGUGUAGUGUUGAAGGGUCUGGAAAUGCAGCAAUAGCUGUAAAAAAUGGUGGGGUGGAAUUGGUUUGCUCUAUUUGUUCUAAGAUACCGAUUGGAUCCAAGAUUGGAUCCAAGCAGGUUCUUGUUUCGGCUUUGAAGACAUUGGCAUUGUUUCUUUACGGUAUAAACAUACGCAUAUGGAUUGUUUUGUUUGUUCUUGUAGUUAAUGCGUAGAAUUAGAAUGUGAAAUAUGAAUGACAAGACUUGUGAAAGACAGCUAAAUUGCUUUUGUACGUAGGGCUAUUAGUUCACUUAGGAAACGAAUGGUGCAAAGAUUUAAUUGGAGGAAUAUGCUAGACAUAUGCUGAUGAUAGGUUUUCAAGUUAUUCAUAUAGGUAUUGUUUGCCCACACAAAUAGGUAUCCCAUCUAUGCCCUCACUGCUAGGAUCUGCUAGCUUAGAAUUGAAUCCAUUGAGCUUAUAUAAAACGUGAAAUUUGCAUUCAAUGGUUCUCUACGCGCUUCUAGAAAUUGUAAAAGUGCUUUUGUAUAGAAUUGUUUUUAAAGGGUUUAAUUGUUCAGUUUGGAUUUCAAAUUCUUGAUUUUGAGAAUCAAUAUAACGUAAAUGUUACUAGUCCCCUUUACGCAUAAGGUUAUUGAUGUAUCAGGUGUUUCUAUAGCAGGUAGACAUUCUUUAUAAAUCCUAAUGUAUACAAACUGUUCUCUCCCCCCUUUGCUCUUAUUGUUGCAUCUUUAAAACAUGUGUAUAAUAAUUUUCCAAAGUUGUUGGAAACUUCUUCUCAGGAACCACGAUUGUGAUGAUGGGAAACAAAUUAUAGUGAUCAUACUCCCAGAAAAGUCUUUUAGGUGUUCAUAUACAUUUAGGUUCUAAUUAAAAAUGGAUUUCUCUAUUUAGCUUGAAGUAUUCUUCCUUGACUUAUUCCAUCUUUCUAAGAAGUUGUGUUAUGCUUCUCUUACUAAUCCUAUAACUGCAAAUCUGGAAAAUAUUACAUUCAUUCUUGUUGUUGAUUGUGCGAUGUGUUGCUGUAAUCUGCAGAUGUCCAAAGUACAGAAACAUUUAGGUCCAGUGAUGGACCAACAAUCUUGGCCGGUAUCUUAAAAGGUGAAAGUGAAAGUUUAGACAUAUUGGAUUGUGGUUUUAAUGUUGUUGCUGCAGCUGCAACUGGCAAUGAGAUUCUAAAAGAGUCAUUCAUGGAAUUGAAAAUUGAUGAACUUAUUUUGCAAGUACUGAAUAGACAGAACACAGGGAAUGUUCAAAGUUUAUAUGAUGCCAUUCGUGUUCUGUUAACACCGGAUGAUAACCGUGUUGUGGCUUCCCAAGUAAGUAAAUAUUAGAUAAAGAUGUAUAAACUUCUAUAAAACAAGAUGGCUGAACUAAACAAUUCAAGAGGAUAAUAGAUGUGGAGCUGUUGAAAAUUCACUUAAUCAAUCAUGCUGUUGCCUUAAAAGUUAGAAAACUUACAGUUUCAUGGAACAAUUGUUUUGAGAAUGGGCCUAGAUCACUCCUUCAUGACCCAGCUAACUUGCUAAGCAUGUGUUGUCAAUGAUGUAUAAUUUUUGCCUACUGUGCCUAGUGAAAAGGUUUUCCUCAAAACUGACAUGUAUGCAAAUUUACAGGUUUAUGGUUAUGCACGAAGGUUUGCGAAGAUUGGGAUUGCAGGAGCUCUUGUGGACUCAUUAUGUGGAGGGCUUGCUUCACCUAGUCUAGUUUCAGCAAGCAUUGCUUUAAAGGCUGUUGCUGUCAAUGAUGAAAUAUGUAAAUCCAUUGCUGAAAGAGGAGGUGUUGACACAAUUCUCAAAUGUAUUGAUGACAGCAGUGAACAAGGCAACAAAACAGUAGCUAGAACUUGUUGUUCGUUGUUAUCCAAGUUGGCAGCAAGUGACUCAAAUAAGAGUGCUAUCAUAGAAAAAGGGGGCAUGGAAAGGCUAAUCCAACUUUCAGGAAGAUUUUCUGAUGACCCUUCUGUCCUGCAAGAGGUUAUGUCUAUCAUUACAGUACUCUCCUUAAGGUCCCCAAAUAAUGCAGCCCGUGCCAUAGAAGCUGGAGCUGGAGACCUUGCUAUCCAAGCAAUGCUGAAGUUUCCAUCUGCACAACAAUUGCAGAGGAAUUCCUGCCUCAUGAUCCGCAAUCUUGUUGUUAGGAACCCCGAGAAUAGAACACUCCUGCUCAGCCAAGGCAUUGAGAAAAUUAUAAGGAGAGCCAAGGAAAAUCAUGAAACCUGCAAGGAUGCUGCAACUGAUGCUCUGAGGGAUUUGGGCCUUGAUAACUACUGCUCGUAGCUUAUACCCAAGGAUUGAUAGCUUGUAUCUUUUCCAAUGAAAAUUUAUUUCCACCCCAUUUUGGUCUUGUAUGUAUUAUAGCCAUGACUUGCAUCUAGAUGGACAUGGACAAGCUCAUUGCUGAAAUAUGCGCAGCUUUCUCACAAAAAAUGGCGCACGAUUUCUGAGGGCAAAGGUUUUUUCUUUUUUCUUUUUUAGAGAGAUUGAAAAAACGAGACCUCCAAGCUGGAUCUAAGCACAAUUGAACUAAGCCAUGCUAGGCUUUCUAAGGUCAAAGUUGGAAAUAUAUUUCAUAUGCAUUAUUGUUUUGUUUUCCUUUUUUUUAAAAAAAAGAUUCUUUUCUGGUAUGGUUGAUUUGACCAACAUUAGUGAGUCUGUCAAAGAGUACAUGUGAACUCCAGGCGAGAUCCACAGCAUAUUAAGGUAUUUUUG